rnacentral:lncRNA from 1 species
AGUAAGUUCUACAGACUCUGAAGCUAAAACAAAAACACGACGAAAGGCGCGUGGCAGACACAGCUUAAGGGAACUGUUUGAAGGAUAGUAGUUCAGAAUCUGCAAAAAUAAACUGAAGAAGGAACUACAAUGAAUUAAUCAUAAUAGGACAAGGACAAGAUUGAGAAUUUGGACAUGGAUUCAGAACCUACUUAAAGCAAAUCUGGUUCAUGGACACAAGACAUUUCUACAUUCAAAAUGAAGUAAGAUUGCAAAAGCUUUAUUACUAGUAAGUAUGCUAAACAUAUUAUUUAAAAUGUACAUUUCUUUGACCUUGGAAUUUGAAUUUAUUAGUCAUUAACUCAGUCAACAAAUAUUUAUUGACUUAUUCUAAGUACUAUGAGACCUCCCGCCUCCAUACCUGCACUGAGGAAUGAAAAGGUGGAGAAAGCAAAGGCAGUAUUUGGACAGUUGAAAAUGAAGCCAUGAGAUGUACUGCCAAGGGGAGCCCCUAGGGCCAGCACGAGUGAAGCGCAGCAUUAACCCUCUGCUGGGAGCCCGUUGGCUCUUUUCAGUUGUUGUCCCCCAGGGUGAGGAAGAAACAGAGCGUCUACCUUUGUGUUACACAUGUGUUACUUGUUAGUGUUCUGCAAAAACACUUUGCCCUCAUAUUGGACCCUCAGUUUUGCAUGUAAGCAGCUCGUCUCAACUCUUUAUUGUUGUAAGCUAGAAGCUUACCGUCAGGUACAACUUCAAAAUAACUCCGUAUACAGGGUUUGAACUUUUUGUUAUUAUCUGACUUAUCUCACAUUUAUAAACACACAUAUUAAGAGCUCUCCCGUGGGCUGGCGAGAUGGCUCAGCAAUUAAGGAUACCAGUUUCUCUUCCAGAGGUCCUGUGUUCGAUUCCCAGCAACCAUGUGUUGGCUCACAACCAUCUGUAAUGAGAUCUGAUGCCCUCCUCUGGUGUGUCUGAAGGGAGGGACAGUGUGCUCACAUAAAAUAAAUAAGUCUUAAAAAAAAAAAAACCAAAAACCAAAAAACCCUCUUCCUUAACUGUACACUCCCUCAACAGGACAUACCAUCAUAACAGAAAAGCAUACAUGUAGUUUUGAAUACAACUGGAACUCUUCAUCACUAGCAGCAUCACUGCAUAGGACAAGUAGACAAGACCCCCAAAAGCAAGUACUCCGGAGCCAGUGAUCAAGGGCCACUGUUUCAGCCAUCAUUUCAGGAGCUCGGACUCUCAGGAAUCACUCAUCUGAAGCUUACAACAGUUCACAGCAAUGGACGUGUAGAGGUGAGGGUGAAAGCUGGCCUACCACAUGUCAUGAAACAUUUCCUUUGUUGUCUAUUCAUGAUCUUUAUAGAGCUAUGGAUGAAUCAGGUGCCUUCCCAGGCCAUGUAUCUGCUCUAGUACUGAACCACAUCACCAGCCACUAUUCAUUAGCAUCACUAUUUAAGGGGAGAAAAAAAGAAAGGAAAAGAAAAGAAGAAAUACCUAAGCCUGUGUUUAAUCUUUUUCUCAAAUAUAAUGAAAAAAUACAAACCCAUUAUUUUAUUUCAAAAAUAGAUUUCUCAGAGUUCUUGAACAUAAUAACUAUAGUACUGGAAAUAAUACAUAUCCAGAGAAAGAGAAUACAAACUCAACACCAAUACAAACGACCUUUGUGAUGACUGUUUUGGUUGUCAACUUGACUACAUUUGGACUUAACUAAAAUCCAAAAACGGAGGGCACAAUUGAGAGAGAUGUUUGCUUCAUUUGAAGUAGGAAGCCUAGAAGCCUGCAUCAGACCUACUAGAAGCCUGCAUUAGGAAAUGGAAGAAGGAAGCUUUUGCUCUUUGCCUGCUUGCUCUCACCUUGCUACCAAAGUCCAUUUCUUCACUGGCAUUAGAGCCUAUUUUAUUUCUUCAGGAUUCCAGCACCUAAAGAAGACCAGAUGAAGCCAAGCAGUGGUGACUCACGCCUUUAAUCCCAGCACUUAGGAGGCAGAGGCAGGCGGCCCUCUACGUGUGAGCUAGCCUAGUCUACAGAGAGAGUUCCAGGACAGGCAGGGUUACACACAGAAACCCUAUCUUGUAAAACAAACAAACAAGACCAGCUGAGACAUCCAGCUUCAUGGAAUCUGGAUUCUUGAAUUUUCCAUUCAUAGCCAGCAACUGUUGAAUUGGCUUGAAUAUAGUCCGUAAGUCAUUCUAAUAGAUCCCCUUUACACACACACCUAUAUACAGACAAACAGCUAUAGUUAGAUAGAUGAUACAGAGUCAGAACCUGACUAAUACAAUCUUGUUUAAUCCAUACAGCAACAUUUACUAACGUUCUUUGAGAUAUGUGAAACGUACAAGUUUGAGUACUCUUUAGAUUAUAGAGUAGGUGGCUGAGAAAGACAGUGAAAACCACUUCACCAUGAAGUCUUACUCUUUAUGUGAUACCAUACCCCUAAGUUCUUCCUAGUACAUGUCACCUCACAGUACCUAAGCAUGUGUGAGCAGAGACUAUGAUGUACUUGACUAUGUGCUGCCCUGUGCUUUAAUCAGGAGCCAUAAUCUCCCCAGACACUAAGGCAAAUUUGUUACAUAGCUGUUUGAUAAAUGUUUACUACUUUGAAUGUUCAGUCUUUUCCUAGAGUAUUUUUCAGUUCUCUUUAUAACUAAAGCUUUGGCACAUCGAUUAAACUUCACUGUCUACUGUUUCUGUACAUUUUCCUUGUCGAGACUACAUAAAAUAGACUAGGUAUAACAGAAAAGUAAGUCAUGGUUUAACAACAGCAGUAACAAUUACUUUUAGAAACAUCCUGUUCAAAAGCUCUAAUAGUUCAGCAUACGCUGAUAGAAAAGAAUCAUGCAGGUUACUUUAAAACUUUGACGCUCUAAGAGUACAUAGUGGCCUAACUUUAUAACUUAGAACUUUAUAUCUGAUAUUUUUCAAAUAGUGAUUACUAAAUGAUACAUUUAAUUGAAGUUGGUAUAGAAAAUAAGAAACAGAAAUGGAGGUAGAAUCAAAAAAAUCUCUUUGCCAGAUUACUUUUAACAAAAAAGAAAAAAAAAAUCAACUAUAGUUUUUCAAAUCAAAAAGAAAAGAACCCACUAGUUGUCCAAUAACAAGCAGGUGCUGGGCUGGGGAAAUGGCUCAAUGAAUAACAUUUCCUGAGUAGGAAUGAAGACCAUUAGUUGACUCACCAGAACCCAGGUCAAAAGACAGACAUGAACAGCACAUCUGCAACCCCAAUGUUACAGGGCAAGCAAAGACAAGACAGGCUAGCGCUUACUGGUGAUCAGCCUAGGUCCAGGCUCAACGAAAGCCACUAUCUACAGGGAACAUGGUGGACUAACAACACAGGCCAUACAGCACCUUCCUCUGGCUUUUGCAUGCACAAAAUGAGUGGCACCUGCAAAUACACAUGUGCAUACACCACAUACAACCACAAAUGUACAAGCACAUACACAGUCAUUCCUAGAAUAAAGUAUACAAUUAAUUUUCUCACAUGUAACACAUAAUCAUUGUGUCUCCAGCUAGAACUUCUAUUAAAUUUAAUAGUUGUUUCUAUGAUAGCUUUUUAGAAUUGCUAAGAUUGAACUUAGUAAAAAAAAAAAAAAAAAACCACUUGGAAGAAGUUAAGCUUAAAAAGAAAAACAACACAUGUACUGUACUUUCUAGCAACUAAGUGCUUUCUAUAUUAUAAUCACAAAAAUCAAAUAUGCCCCAAAUACUCCUAGAACUAAAGUCUGAUAACUCUUUAUGCAUGCUGGAUAAUUUAUAACCACUUAGCUACAACUCCAGCUUCAAGAUAUGCAAUACUCCCCAAUCUGUGGCCAACUUGGACACACACAGCAAGAACAUACAUGUGUGCAAAAACACAUACACACAAACAUAAUUAAAAUAAUAAAAAUAAAUCUUUAAAAAAUUAAAAGAAUGAUCAAGCCAGAGAGAUGGCUCAGUAGGUAAAGGUGUUUGCCACUAAAUCCCUUAAUAUCAGUUCCAUCCUUGGGACCCGCAUGGUGGAAAGAGAGACCAAGUCCUAUAAGCUGUCUCAAUAUGGCCAGUUAAGCAUACUCAGGAACAUGUGAAACACACAAAUAUCUAAGUACUUUUCAAAAAAUAUUCCCAAAAAAACAAUAAAAAAAUAAAAAUAAAUCCACUAAACAAAAGGCAUAUAGACUUAACAGAGCACCAAGGACAAAUUACAAACAUAUGAAAAGAUGUUCCACACAAUGUUUGCAGAAAAAUGCAAAUAAAAGCAAUGAUAUAGCAAGCAAUUAUUAUCGUAGCUUAAAUACAGAGUUCUGAUAACACUUAAUGUUAAAUACUAUAGUAAUGAAGUUCUAAUCCUUGCUGGUGAGAAUUCAAAACGGUACAACCAUUUUAGAUAACAAUUACAAGACAAACUGUACACAUUCUAACAAUCAAUAGAAGUUUUCUUUAAGUUUUUAGGUUUUUAUCAACAAAACUUGCAAACAGAUAAUUACAGCCAUUUUACAACUAAUCACCAAAACUUGGAAGUUCGUCAUUUUUUAAAAUGCAUCAUGUGGUGAAGAUGCUGAUAAGUGAUGAUGCUAUGCUUGUACAAAGAGUGAUAACCAUGUGGUGAGGAUGCUGAUGAGGGAUGGUGCUAUGUCUGUAGAGGCUGCCUGAAUAAGAGCUAUCUGCACUUUUUCAAUUUUGCUGUGAACCUAAAACUAUUUUUGAACAAAAGACAUAUUUUUGAGACUGUAAUUACUCAUUUUACACUUCUCUUUUCUCUCUCCAAACAAUAAAGAUUUUUAAGAGGAAGAAGUACAGUUUAAUAGUAGUGAGCUAGCAAGAGUCAGAUAAUCAGUGAGUAGUGGACUACUUCACCAAAGUGUAACUUACCCAGGUGGAACUUCUCUUGAUGCUUUAACCGUGCAAACCGGGAUUUGAAAUGUUCUUCACAAUAGGUACAUUUAAAGGGUUUAUCUUGUGAAUGCAGAAUCAUGUGUUCUUCCAAGUGUGGUCUUCGAGUAAAAGAUUUCUUACAAAUCUAAAUGAAAGUGUAUAUAAAAUGUAACUACCUUAAUUUAAGCCUUUAUUAAAAUACAAAGCUCAUAACAAGGAUAAAACAUUUAGGUUCAAGAGAAAUAUCUUUCAACACAAAACUUACCAAAAGAUAAUCAAUUUUCUAACUGUGCUAUGAAAGUGGGAAAACAAGAAAUACUGGGAGAAUUAGAGGCUCAAAUUAUGUUAAAUUAACCCUGAAGACAGAUGAAUUUAACCUUAUUCUAUGUUUAAUAUGGCUGUAAAAUACUCUUAGUAUCCUAAGUCUCUAUAGCAAUUUCUUGUC